UAGGGAAUCUUCCACAAUGGACGCAAGUCUGAUGGAGCAACGCCGCGUGAGUGAAGAAGGUCUUCGGAUCGUAAAGCUCUGUUGUUGGUGAAGAAGGAUAGAGGCAGUAACUGGUCUUUAUUUGACGGUAAUCAACCAGAAAGUCACGGCUAACUACGUGCCAGCAGCCGCGGUAAUACGUAGGUGGCAAGCGUUGUCCGGAUUUAUUGGGCGUAAAGCGAGCGCAGGCGGAAUGAUAAGUCUGAUGUGAAAGCCCACGGCUCAACCGUGGAACUGCAUCGGAAACUGUCAUUCUUGAGUGCAGAAGAGGAGNGUGGAACUCCAU
rnacentral:rRNA from 1 species